rnacentral:rRNA from 1 species
UACGAGGGGGGCAAGCGUUGUUCGGAUUUAUUGGGCGUAAAGGGUGCGUAGGCGGUUUGAUAAGUCUUGUGUGAAAUCUCUGGGCUCAACCCAGAGUCUGCACGAGAAACUGUCGGGCUUGAGUAUUGGAGAGGUGAGUGGAAUUUCCGGUGUAGCGGUGAAAUGCGUAGAUAUCGGAAGGAACACCUGUGGCGAAAGCGGCUCACUGGACAAUAACUGACGCUGAUGCACGAAAGCUAGGGGAGCAAACAGG